AUCGUUUUGGGACGUCGCUCCGGGAGCCGAGGAAGAUGGUCUGGUAUGUCCCACAUGCUUGUGGACCCUCGAUUUCGGAACCUAGCAGACCUGUUCAGGAGAUUGCUGGCUCCCGCUUCGUGGACAGCCUAUCGGGCGGUGUGGGAUCGGUGGCUGGUCUAUGCGGGAGAGUUCGGUUUGUAUUCCACUGAGAGUAGGUUGCUGUCUACUUUG